UACGAAGGGGGCUAGCGUUGCUCGGAAUCACUGGGCGUAAAGGGUGCGUAGGCGGGUCUUUAAGUCAGGGGUGAAAUCCUGGAGCUCAACUCCAGAACUGCCUUUGAUACUGAAGAUCUUGAGUUCGGGAGAGGUGAGUGGAACUGCGAGUGUAGAGGUGAAAUUCGUAGAUAUUCGCAAGAACACCAGUGGCGAAGGCGGCUCACUGGCCCGAUACUGACGCUGAGGUGCGAAAGCGUGGGGAGCAAACCGG
rnacentral:rRNA from 1 species